rnacentral:rRNA from 1 species
UACAGAGGUGGCAAGCGUUGUUCGGAAUUACUGGGCGUAAAGGGCGCGUAGGCGGUUCGUUAAGUCCGCUGUGAAAGUCCAGGGCUCAACCCUGGGAUGCCGGUGGAUACUGUCGGGCUCGAGUCCGGAAGAGGCGAGUGGAAUUCCUGGUGUAGCGGUGAAAUGCGCAGAUAUCAGGAGGAACACCAAUGGCGAAGGCAGCUCGCUGGGACGUGACUGACGCUGAGACGCGAAAGCGUGGGGAGCAAACAGG